rnacentral:rRNA from 1 species
CGGGGUGAGUAAUGUCUGGGAAACUGCCUGAUGGAGGGGGGUAACUGCUGGAAACGGUAGCUAAUACCGCAUAACGUCGCAAGACCAAAGAGGGGGACCUUCGGGCCUCUUGCCAUCGGAUGCGCCCAGAUGGGAUUAGCUAGUAGGUGGGGUAACGGCUCACCUAGGCGACGAUCCCUAGCUGGUCUGAGAGGAUGACCAGCCACACUGAAACUGAGACACGGUCCAG